CAGGAUCAGUACUCGAGUCUGUGGGACACGCGGCACCACGAGCCACGCGCAGGUCCUACCUGGAAGAUGGCGGUUCCGGCCGAAAAGAAGGAGGUGGGGCCGCAGCUCGCGCCUUAGAAGGGCCUCCGGGCUGCCCAGAGCACUGCCUGAAAGAAAUGCCAGGGUAAAGUAACUCUUCUGGGAAAGGGGAUCUUCUCAGGGAACAAGGGGAGGCUGGCAGAAUAUUUUUCUUUCUUGUGAAAAAAAGGCUAUAAGCCAACUCAAGCUAACACUUGGGUCUUUCCGGACAGCCCGGAAAGGGGCCUUCAAGGCCGUCAAUCACGACGUCCACGACCCAAGCGUGCUGACGUUCGCCUUUGCGUCGAGCCUUCGCCGGAAGCGCGCUUGUGUUGGUGGCUCUGGGCACCCCGGAGAGGGGAGCACAGGUCAUCAUUUGGGAAGAGCUUAUAUUUAUAAUUCCACACAAGAUACUGAACGUAGAACGUCUUUUCCAUUUUGUACAGCACUGACACUGAUACAGAAGAUCCAGGUCAACAUGGCCCUUGGGAGGCUGGUGACUAAGACCAGGGUGCUCAUGCCUGUGGUAAGCAUUUGAUGCUAUAUACUCAAAUUUUGUGGGGAUAUGAUUUUGGAUCCACUAACCACCAGUUGUCUCACUUUCUCUGAGACAUGUGGGGUGUCAGAUGUUGGGGUGGGAUAGAAAUGGGAUACAAGUGUUUGCUUGGAGUCUGCCCAUUGUCAAGGAACAUUCCCUAUGUCUUCAGAGCUUGGAUUCCAAGUUGUGAGUCUCAGAGGAGGAUAUGAAGUUGUGUUAUCUAAACCCAGCACCAUUCUCCACAUGCACCUAAACUUGCAGAAGGUGAACAUGUUCCAGGUUUGACCUAAAAGCCAAUUCAUUUUGUGAUGCCCCUGACGGUUUCCACCUGUACACAUUCAAAAAUGUGUCUACCUUAGGGCAUCUGCAUCAACCAUGUGUCCUAGGACCCCAGGCAAGGGUGAGAAUAUGAAGAUCUGUCCCAAGGGAGCCACAGAUAUUGCGGUUUGGCUACAGCCAUCCUAAGAAGACAAGUAAACUCUGUCCAAAAUUAAAAGCAAAUGAGAGAAAACUGCUGACUCAUAUAGGCCCAAGAUCUUUCAUUAUACAGGUGUUUAUAAGGUUAGAAAAUACUGUUUUUGUUUUUUUUUCCUACUGAUAAGGAAGCCUUCAGAUUUAAAAAAAAAUAGCUAAAAUAAGUCAUUAAUUUAAUGACUGACUUAAUUCUAACUGCAAGGUUUUGCUUAGGUUCAGACAGAACAAAAAGCAUUAUAAGUGUGGUUUUGUUUCCUCUUACAUGUUUCUGAGAGAACAUAUCCAUGGAUUGCUGCUUUAGGAGGAAGCCAAGAGCUCGUUUGUGGACAGUAUCCAGGAUGAAUCUGUGUAAAAUGCCAAUGAAAAUACUCCCAGUCAAAACAUGAGGUGUGUGGGUGAGCUGUGAACAAAGAAAACGUCAUCACACUGAGAGCUUGAAGUACCAGGAAAGAAAGAUGACCAAGAAGCAAAUGAAGCAUCUGACUGAACAAUGCCAAGGAGGGCUCAGAGACACAAUUCUUAAAAGGGAAAGUACUUGCAAAGAAAACAGAGAAAUCAGACUUCAGAAGGAUUGGCUCCCCAAAUAGAGGACACAGUAAACAUUUGAUCACAUAAACCACAGAGUUAUCAAGGUUUGCAAGUUUAUACUAGUGUGUUAAUGCUGGCCAUGGACAACUUCCUUACAUGACUAUAGUCAUAAAGACCAAGGCAUAUUCUCAGAUAUCAACAUAGCAAAAUCACCAGUAGAAUUGCUUUUGGUUGGAAACCAGGUUUACAGGAUAUUCAAUAUUUUACUUGGUGGUCCAAGCCAGUUAGGGUGGCCUUGUUAUUUUUAUUUUAGAAGGCAAAGUACUUUACUUUUUUCCCAGUUGCUGUCUAUGAAAUGCUCAGUUCUGUUGGCAAUAGCAUAAUGUGUCAGUGUUGGCUUCUUGCAUCCCUCUUUUGGUCAGGUUCCUGCCAUUAAGAUGUAGAUUUGACGGAAGAGUUGACUUGUAGUUGUUGUUUUUAAAUUCAGUAUCAUUAAUUGGUGGUUUUGUGUUAUUUGGUGCAAUUACAUAGGAGUUACUAGAGUGGUUGUUUUCAUAGAAAGUCCUUUUAAUGGUUAUCAAAACUGUAGUCUUAUAACAUAGAGGCCUCAAAGUACACUUUUUGAGGGCAUUUUUUGUUCAGUGCUUAGGGUUUAUGUUCAGAAGUAUUUUAUUGCCCUCAUCAGAUCUGUUGGGAUUGAGAACUGGGAAACUACUUCACUCUACCAGGUCAAGCUGAAGUAACUAUGAUAGUAAGGGUACCCAUGUUGGUCACGGCUCUUGACUCGCAAGGAAGUGAGACUCAAAAUAUGUGUAAGAGGAGGAUUUCAUAAGCCAUAGAGCAGACACCAGGCAAGUUUUCCUGGGAGACAUUUGUGGCUAUCUUUUCCACAUGUGAAUAGUCCUUAUGAGUGGGCAUUUGACACUGAAUUCCAGAAGAAUUAAACAUUUAAAUGUAUAAAGUCUUCUAGAAGUAGAAGACUAUCUUUUUUUAUCUUUGUGUAAGGAAAAAUAGUCAAGACAUAAGAAGUUCUAAUCAGAAAGAUAGACACCUCUGACCUUAUUAAAAUUGAGAACUUCUGUUCAUCAGGAGACACCAAAAAGGAAGGGCAAAAACAAAUUACGAACUGGGAGAAGAUAUUUGCAAUGCCUGUAGCUGAGGAAGAUGGUAGUAUUCAGAUUAAUCCUAUAAAACAAACAGAAAAAGACAACCAAUGCAGGAACUGUCCAAACAGAGAUUUCACAGGGAGAAGAAAUACAAAACGUGAAUAAACAUGAAAAAUUACUCA
ensembl:lncRNA